rnacentral:rRNA from 1 species
AUUGAACGCUGGCGGCAUGCCUUACACAUGCAAGUCGAACGGCAGCACGGGUGCUUGCACCUGGUGGCGAGUGGCGAACGGGUGAGUAAUACAUCGGAACAUGUCCUGUAGUGGGGGAUAGCCCGGCGAAAGCCGGAUUAAUACCGCAUACGAUCUACGGAUGAAAGCGGGGGCCCUUCGGGCCUCGCGCUAUAGGGUUGGCCGAUGGCUGAUUAGCUAGUUGGCGGGGUAAAGGCCUACCAAGGCGACGAUCAGUAGCUGGUCUGAGCGGACGACCAGCCACACUGGGACUGAGACACGGCCCAGACUCCUACGGGAGGCAGCAGUGGGGAAUUUUGGACGAAGGGCGAAAGCCUGAUCCAGCAAUGCCGCGUGUGUGAAGAAGGCCUUCGGGUUGUAAAGCACUUUUGUCCGGAAAGAAAUCCUUGGCCCUAAUACGGUCGGGGGAUGACGGUACCGGAAGAAUAAGCACCGGCUAACUACGUG